GCACAAGCGGUGGAUGAUGUGGUUUAAUUCGAUGCAACGCGAAAACCUUACCCACCUUUGACAUGUACGGAAUCCUUUAGAGAUGGAGGAGUGCUCGAAAGAGAGCCGUAACACAGGUGCUGCAUGGCUGUCGUCAGCUCGUGCCGUGAGGUGUCCGGUUAAGUCCGGUAACGAGCGCAACCCUCGCCAUAUGUUACAAGUGUCAUAUGGGACUGCCGAUAUAAAGUCGGAGGAAGUGGGAUGACGUCAAGUCAGCAUGGCCUUUAUGUCCGGGGCUACACACACGCUACAAUGGCCGGUACAAUAGGUAGCAAGACCGCGAGGUGGAGCCAAUCCUAAAAGCCGGUCUCAGUUCAGAUUGCAGGCUGCAACUCGCCUGCAUGAAGUCGGAAUCGCUAGUAAUCGCAGGUCAGCAUACUGCGGUGAAUACGUUCCCGGGCCUU
rnacentral:rRNA from 1 species